rnacentral:rRNA from 1 species
GAUGAACGCUGGCGGCGUGCCUAAUACAUGCAAGUCGAGCGAACAGACGAGGAGCUUGCUCCUCUGACGUUAGCGGCGGACGGGUGAGUAACACGUGGAUAACCUACCUAUAAGACUGGGAUAACUUCGGGAAACCGGAGCUAAUACCGGAUAAUAUAUUGAACCGCAUGGUUCAAUAGUGAAAGACGGCUUUGCUGUCACUUAUAGAUGGAUCCGCGCCGUAUUAGCUAGUUGGUAAGGUAACGGCUUACCAAGGCAACGAUGCGUAGCCGACCUGAGAGGGUGAUCGGCCACACUGGAACUGAGACACGGUCCAGGCUCCUACGGGAGGCAGCAGUAGGGAAUCUUCCGCAAUGGGCGAAAGCCUGACGGAGCAACGCCGCGUGAGUGAUGAAGGUCUUCGGAUCGUAAAACUCUGUUAUUAGGGAAGAACAAAUGUGUAAGUAACUAUGCACGUCUUGACGGUACCUAAUCAGAAAGCCACGGCUAACUACGUG